rnacentral:rRNA from 1 species
AGCGAACGCUGGCGGCAGGCCUAACACAUGCAAGUCGAACGAACUCUUCGGAGUUAGUGGCGGACGGGUGAGUAACACGUGGGAACGUGCCUUUAGGUUCGGAAUAACUCAGGGAAACUUGUGCUAAUACCGAAUGUGCCCUUCGGGGAAAGAUUUAUCGCCUUUAGAGCGGCCCGCGUCUGAUUAGCUAGUUGGUGAGGUAAAGGCUCACCAAGGCGACGAUCAGUAGCUGGUCUGAGAGGAUGAUCAGCCACAUUGGGACUGAGACACGGCCCAAACUCCUACGGGAGGCAGCAGUGGGGAAUCUUGCGCAAUGGGCGAAAGCCUGACGCAGCCAUGCCGCGUGAAUGAUGAAGGUCUUAGGAUUGUAAAAUUCUUUCACCGGGGACGAUAAUGACGGUACCCGGAGAAGAAGCCCCGGCUAACUUCGUGCCAGCAGCCGCGGUAAU